GGCUCGUUGGUCUAGGGGUAUGAUUCUCGCAUAGGGUGCGAGAGGUUCCGGGAUCAAAUCCCGGACGAGCCC
rnacentral:tRNA from 1 species